AGCGAAACGCGAUAUGUAAUGUGAAUUGCAGAAUUCAGUGAAUCAUCGAAUCUUUGAACGCACAUGGCGCCUUCCAGUAUCCUGGGAGGCAUGCCUGUCCGAGCGUCGUUUCAACCCUCGAGCCCCCGUGGCCCGGCGUUGGGGAUCUGCCCAGGCAGUCCCCCAAAACCAGUGGCGGACCCGUUAGGCCCUUCCUUUGCGUAGUAACAUCUGCCUCGCAUCGGGAGCCGGCGGGCUUUCCAGCCUCUAAACCCCCCUCAAGCCCGCUCCGGCGGCACCAAGGUUGACCUCGGAUCAGGUAGGAAUACCCGCUGAACUUAA
rnacentral:rRNA from 1 species